rnacentral:misc_RNA from 1 species
GAAGAAAAUAGGCAAAAACAAAACCAUUUCCAAGGGAUGAAAAGUCCAAAUAUCAUCUUCGGCAAGAAUAACUAUGACAGAGACCAGAAGAGGGCAUGAUAAAGAAAAUGUAAAACUGGGAAUUCAAGAAACAUAGAAUAGAAGAACACCCAUAAAUCAAUUCAAUUUGGUUUUUAAUCUCAAUAAGAAUCCAAAAUCAAAAGAAAAGAAGAUAAGGAAGAGGAAAAAAUCGGAAUGAAGAAUAGAUCACAAGGCAAAUAACAAAACUUGUUGAAGGAAUAUCAAAUUGAAUGAAGUUACCUUCGAU